rnacentral:lncRNA from 1 species
CCCAAGUUUGACCAGUAGAAAAACUUCACAUUACCAUUUGAACGUAUUUAACAUUUUGUAUGGAUUAUUAAGCUUGAACUCUUCAAUACCAACUCUAGUUAAAUUUCUCGUUCCUCCUCUUACCAACUUUCAUUAUUUAUUUCUCCUCCUAAUGACCGCCUGGUUAGAAUAUAUAUCAUCCAACUACGUUUUAUUUCAUACAUGAUGUUGGCUCUAGUUCAUCUUAAUUUCUUCUUGGGCUUUAAUAUUGAAACAAAGACAGAAAAUGAAAACAAUAGCAAACGCGCCAUGGACAACAAUCACCAGUCACCUUCUCCACCGUUCUCACACACUCACCUCGGCGACCUAAUCAAGCCACCUUCCUCUCGGCCAUAGACUCAUGGAAGGUUCCAAAGCGUAGGGUGCCUGGGCCCGGAACCUCCAAACCGCCCAUGCCGUGUUCUCAAUGCACACUUU